AUCUGCUGCCACUGACCUUAGCGAAGGGACUCAGCACAGACAGUACCGGAAGCACCGACAGCGUAGACAACGGCGCACGCCAUCGACAGCGUCGGCGUCCGCGACACGUGGCCACUCAAGCUCGGAGAACUAUUAAAAACGUUCCGCUAGACGAGUGUCCGAAAGCCACGACGGGCGAGCGAGAGCGUGCGACGGACGAGUGGCUGGGCGGAGUGCGCGCGCUGCGUGACUCGCACGUGCGGCUCGUGCUGCGCCAGCUGCGCCACAUCGAGCGCCUCAACCGCGCGCUGGACCGCGCCAGUCCGCGCAGUUCUCGAAGCCCUCGAAGCCCACGAAGCCCCCGAAGCCCUCGUAGCCGGCCACGCUGAGUGAUCCCAUCCCAAUAUAUGUACUUUGACA